rnacentral:rRNA from 1 species
AGAGUUUGUUUAGGGCUCAGAUUGAACGCUGGCGGCAGGCUUAACACAUGCAAGUCGAGCGGCAGCGGAAAGAAGCUUGCUUCUUUGCCGGCGAGCGGCGGACGGGUGAGUAAUGUCUGGGGAUCUGCCCGAUGGAGGGGGAUAACUACUGGAAACGGUAGCUAAUACCGCAUAAUGUCGCAAGACCAAAGUGGGGGACCUUCGGGCCUCACACCAUCGGAUGAACCCAGACGGGAUUAGCUAGUAGGUGGGGUAAUGGCUCACCUAGGCGACGAUCCCUAGCUGGUCUGAGAGGAUGACCAGCCACACUGGAACUGAGACACGGUCCAGACUCCUACGGGAGGCAGCAGUGGGGAAUAUUGCACAAUAGGGGAAACCCUGAUGCAGCCAUGCCGCGUGUGUGAAGAAGGCCUUCGGGUUGUAAAGCACUUUCAGCGGGGAGGAAGGCAAUGGCGUUAAUAGUGUCAUUGAUUGACGUUACCCGCAGAAGAAGCACCGGCUAACUCCGUGCCAGCAGCCGCGGUAAUACGGAGGGUGCGAGCGUUAAUCGGAAUUACUGGGCGUAAAGCGUACGCAGGCGGUCUGUUAAGUCAGAUGUGAAAUCCCCGGGCUUAACCUGGGAACUGCAUUUGAAACUGGCAGGCUAGAGUCUCGUAGAGGGGGGUAGAAUUCCAGGUGUAGCGGUGAAAUGCGUAGAGAUCUGGAGGAAUACCGGUGGCGAAGGCGGCCCCCUGGACGAAGACUGACGCUCAGGUACGAAAGCGUGGGGAGCAAACAGGAUUAGAUACCCUGGUAGUCCACGCUGUAAACGAUGUCGAUUUGAAGGUUGUGGUCUUGAGCCGUGGCUUUCGGAGCUAACGCGUUAAAUCGACCGCCUGGGGAGUACGGCC